rnacentral:sRNA from 1 species
GGUCUGGGCUACCGGCGCGGCGUAGUGGAUGCAGCAUCCUAGUUGAGGACGCCCCGCUGGGGCAAGGAAGUCUGCAGACCCCAAGAGACACUGUGAUCAUCCAGCUUGGGCUCACAAGAAAACCCACGUGCGGCGAGAAAGAGCCAGGGAAGGAAGCAGCUUUAGGAAGGGCUUCAGGCUGGACACGGAUGACGGGCAGCUUCCCAGAGCUGCUCCAGAAAGGACAGACGCCAAGCCCACGGCUUUCCCGUGUCAGGUGCUCACGCGGUGUUGUGGGCGGCGGCCGGGCCGCAGAGAGCGCCGGAAGCAGCGCGCAGUAGAGCUGUCGUUCAUCUGCGGCACGUGCGGGAAGGCGCUCAGCUGCCACAGCCGGCUGCUCGCUCACCAGACGGUGCACACGGGAACCAAGGCCUUCGAGUGCCCCGAGUGCGGCCAGACCUUCCGGUGGGCUUCAAACCUGCAGCGCCACCAGAAGAACCACACGCGCGAGAAGCCCUUCUGCUGCGAGGCCUGCGGGCAGGCGUUCAGCCUGAAGGACCGCCUGGCUCAGCACCGCAAGGUCCACACCGAGCACAGGCCCUACUCGUGUGGCGACUGUGGGAAAGCCUUCAAGCAGAAGUCCAACCUUCUCAGACACCAGCUGGUGCACACCGGGGAGCGGCCGUUCUACUGCGCGGACUGCGGCAAAGCCUUCCGGACCAAGGAGAACCUCAGCCACCACCAGAGGGUCCACAGCGGGGAGAAGCCCUACACCUGUGCCGAGUGCGGCAAGUCCUUCCGCUGGCCCAAGGGCUUCAGCAUCCACCGGAGGCUGCACCUGACGAAGAGAUUCUACCAGUGCGGCCACUGUGGGAAAGGCUUCCGUCACCUGGGGUUCUUCACGCGGCAUCAGAGGACUCACAGGCACGGGGAGGUGUAGGGGCGCCCGAAGCGUGGGGUGCUGCGCCUCUGCGGGAGUACUGGGCCCUGAGGGAGAGCUGCAGUGAGAAGUUGCUCUUCAGCCUGGAAAAUCAACCUGAAUUCAGAGAAGCCUUCUUAGUCCUCAGAGCUCCCCAGUCCCCUGAGAAGUUUACUGGGAAAACUGCUAGGUCCUGCACACCCAUGAAGCGACUGACCCAGCUGGUCUGAAGCACCCCACGAGGAGGUACCUCAGAACCCAGGCCAGAUCCACACAAGGCUCUCGGUCAGUCCCAGAUGGAAGCUCCAGUCCCAGGCCGUGACAUGCAUCAGCUCCCACACCCAAGAUUGUCCC